UGGGGAGUGAUUUCUUAAUGGGUAUAGGGUUCUUUUAUGGGGUGAUGAAAGUGCUUUGGAACCAGAUGGAAGUGGUGAUCGCACAACAUUGUGAAUGUACUAAAGGCUGCUGAUUUGUACACUUUAAAAAAUAUCUUCAGGUGUUCAAUAUUGCUUUCAGUCUAUUUUGGUAAGAUUUUUCUAGAAAAUUGUUUAUUUUGUCUGUUUUAAAAGUUGUUCCUUUGUGGAUAUCAUCUGUUUGUCAUUGGUGUUCUGCAGUUUCAUUAUGAUUUAUGUGUCUUUUUUCCACAUAAAUUUUUCAAAGUUAUUCCUUUGUGGUUAUCAUCUGUUUGUCAUUGGUGUUCUGCAGUUUCACUCUGAUUUAUGGGUGUUUUUCCCCUUCUGGUUCAGUCCUCAGAGAUAUGUGGAUUUAUUUUUAUCCUGUAUGGAGCCUGUGCUUCCUGAAUUUAAGGAUUCAUGUCCUUCAACAGUUCUGGAAGACUGUAGCCAUUAUUUCUUUGAAUACUGCCUCUCCUCAUUUGCUUUCACCCUUCUGGAACUUUUUAUUUCUAACUUUCUGGUUAAGCUAUCCAUUGAAUUUUUAUUAUUAUUUUUUGAGACAUAGUUUCACUUUUGCCCAGGUUGAAGUGCAGUGGCACGAUCAUAGCUCAGAUCAUAGCUCACUGCAAACUUUUGACCAUAGCUCACUGCAACCUCGAACUCUUGGGCUCAAGUGAUCCUCCCGCCUCAGCCUCCCAAGAGGCUGGGGCUACAGGCAGAUGCCACCACACCUGGCUGAAGUUUGAAAAUUUUUUCAGAGAGACAGAGUCUCGCUGUGUCACCCAGGCCAGUCUUGAACUCUUGGCUCAAGUGAUCCUCCUGCUUUGGCCUCCCAAAGCACUGGGAUUACAUGUAUGAGGCACUGUGCCCAGCCUGAAUUUUUAAUUUUAUAAUCAUAAUGUUUAUUUCUAAAAUUGUUUCUUCCUCCCCUCUAAGCUUCCCAAUUUUGUCUUACAAUGCUUUUUUCUUAUUUUUUCUUCUUGUGGCUAUAAUAAUUUUAAACACCACUGUUUCAUAGACUCCAUCAGAUUACUGCACUGGCUGGAGGUCUUGCUGUUGAUCCUGCUCUUUGUGGUGUCUGCUGGCUCUCCCUCACAGUAAAUUGGGGGGUGUGUGUGUGUGUGUGUGUGUGUGUGUGUGACGUUUUUGUGUGUAAAGAUGGGUGAGUCAUCUUCAAAGGGGCUUUCUCACCAGCAUGGUUUUUGUAUGUGCUUGCAUCUGAUGGUUAUUAUCAGCCUGGGACCAAUUUUUUCUGUUAAUUUCUUAACUUUCAAUAUUUUGGAUCUUGUGGUAAUGUAAGUUUGGACUUCAAACUCAUGUGAACUUAUAGUUAUGAAUUGUCUGAGUGUAGAGGUGGGGUGAGAUAUGAGGGAGGAUAAGUCCCCCACUAAGAAUCCAGCUCAAACAGCAAAGCUUCUCUGUAGCGGGAGGUAGAUUCUAUUAAUAUUCUAGCCCACUGUUUUUCUGAGGCCAUACCUGUAUGAGGGGGUCUCAGUUCUGAUUCUUUUUCUAAAGCAAGCCCAUAUUUUUGUCUGCUACCCAUGCCUUGGUGUUAAAUCCAAACUUCUGUAUUUCAGGAACAGCACUUUUCAGGGAAUAUGGACCACUCUAUUUAUAGUUUCUUUCUCGUUUGUAGCCCCUGGCACUUGACUUUGCUAAGAUCUCAGCUAUGUCGUUAAACGGAUUUUUGUCACAUUAUAUUUAACAUUAUAAAUAACAUUUCUUGUUUAGAAGGCCUUUUGGGUAAUCUUAUCUGUUACAUUGCUGAAACCAUUACAUUUUUUAAUUUGUCAUGUUGGUCUAAAGAGCUUAGAAUAGUGCCUGGCACAAAAAUAAGAGCUGUGUGUGUUAGCAGUUUCAUUUUUAUGUUACUUUUCUUAUUUUUAUUACUGCUGGAUUAUCUUUAUAGUUCUAAAGCUUCAGCAACUGGUUCUCAUAUUUUCUAGAUAUACCAAAGAUCAUCUACAAAUAACGACAUGAUUGCCUCUUUCUUUUCAGUAUUUAUAAACCUUAUUCUUUUCUUACUGUGCUACCAUCUUCCUCUAGCCCCGCAUUUGCCAGGAAUGGUGAUGGGAGUGGUCAUCUGUGUCUUUUUCCUAACUUAAAUGAGGAAUGCUUUGCAUGUGUGAAGCAUAUGUGCUCUAAAUUUCUGGUUGACACCUUUUAAUGAGUUAAGAACCCUUUUCCUGUUCCUAGCUUACAAAUAGUUUUCAUUAGAAACAAAUUAUGAAUUUUUUAGUUGCAUUUUCUACAUUUACUGAAAUGACAAUACUUCUUUAAUCUACUAGGUUUCUGAAUUGGAUUAGUAUAGUAUAUUUAGUGUUUUUUUGUUGUUGUUUUUUUUAAAUCAACUCAUCAUUCCUAGAAUAUUCCUAAUCCUGGGAUGAAGGUGGGGAACCCCUAUUUGGUCAUGAUAUAUUUCGCUUUUAAUAUACUGCUGGUUUCAAUUGGCUAAUACUUUAUUAGAUUUUUAACCUCUCAGAUCAUAAGGGAAAUUGCUGUAUAGUUAUUUUUUCUUUACUUUUUGCUGUGCUGUGUGUGUGUGCAUGCAUGCAUGUGUGAAAGUUGUUCUUGUCUUGGAAAAUAAAUUGGGAAAUACUCCACCUUUUUAUGUUCUCAGAAGAGUUCCUGUAACAUAGGAAUUACAUGCACAUUUCAUAGACUACUUGUAAAACUGGGCUUUUGUACAUUUUGGAAGAAUGUUUCAGCUCAAUCCUCGUACUCACUCAAUUGCUUUUCAAUAGUGUCCAUUCUGAUAUUCUGCCCAUGCCCCGAUGUUUUUCUUUUAAUUUCACAAUCGACUGUUCUCUCCUAGGAUUUGCCCUUGGUCCUUCUUUCGUAAUGCUCUGUCCUGUGUCAUGGAUGCACUGGGCUCUCCUAAAAUAUAGGAUAUAUCCUCCCCAUCUCCUUUUGCCUCCUCCAGUGCUGCAGUUGGUUGAGUUUUGUGGUGUUGGUUUUCUUCAGAUCUUGGGUGGUCUUAGCUAUGUUUGAUAUAUUUGAGACCCCCUGUUUGCCUGUCCUGUUGAUCCUGUGGAUCCUACACUGCCUCCAGCGCUGUGGAGAGAGCUGGGUUGGGCUGCUGAGGAGGGUGUCCAGGAGCGAGUCUCAGUAGGGUGAAGGCUCCCAUUUCUCCUGGUGAAUUCCAGCCCUGAGGGCAUGGCAAGGCCUCUUUGUCGAAGUGUCCACAGAAAUGUCUGGGGCAGGGGUAGACAAAGGUCUCUGCAUGGCAAGGGCAGGGGAAGGAGGACCUAAUCCUUGGCUGAUCCUAAUGCAGUGACCCUGUGGGCCCAGCACACCUCUCCUUGCCAGCACUCCCACCUUGGCAGCCGCCACCUGCCCCAUCUGAGUAUGCUUUCCUUCUUAUCCUAUGUGGUUUUUGAUUCACAGUGGCCUUCCUUUUCCUGUCGUCAACCACUUAUGAAUGUAUAUACAGACAGGUGUCACUUAAUGACAGGGAUAUGAGGACACGUUCUGAGCAGCAUGUCAUAGGCACUUUUAUCAUUGUGCUAGCCUCAUAGAGUGACUUAUCCAAACCUCAGUGGUACAGCUACUACACACCUAGGCUAUAUGGCUACAAACCUGUACAGCAUGUGACUGUACUGAUUGCUGUAGGCAGUUGUAACAUAAUGGUAUUUGUGUAUCUGAACAUAUCUAAACACAGAAAAGGUGCAGAAAAAAUAUGGUAUAAAAGAUAGCAAAUGGUACACCCCUAUAGGACACUUCUGACUGGAGCUUGGAGGACUGGAAGUUGCUCUGGGUUUGUCAGUGAGUGUAAGUGAAUGUGAAGGCCUAAGACAUUACUGUACACUUUUAUACAACUGGCAGUGCAGUAGGGUUGUUUACAACAGCAUCAAGAUAAACACAUAAUAUAUUGCACUGCAAUGUUCUGAGGGCUGUGAUGUACUAGGUGGUAAGAAUUUUUUAGCUCUAUUAUAGUCUUUUGGGACCACCAUUGUGUAUUCCAUCCAUGAUUGACUGAAACAUCAUUAUGUGGUGUAUGAUUGUAUAUAUCUAAAUAGUAUACAAGUAUUUAUGAGUUUUUUUGCGUGUACUUUUUUUUCUGUUGUCUUGGAAUUUUGUCUUCAUCUAAUGACAUUGAUUUAACUUCCUUUAACCUCAGUUUAUAAACACUUAAUUUAUGAAAGUAAUUGUAGAACAUAUUUUUAAAAUCUGAAUCUUUACAACACAAAUGGCAAAAGGUUCUUUCAGAAGUUAGAAUUCAGUUUCCCAUUCAAUGUCUGUUCUGUUAAAUCACUGGGAACGUCAUUUACGCAAAGGCAGAAGAAGAGGUAACUUCCUGCCCACCAAGCCACACUAACGGUACAUUUUACACCCUCAUUGGCACAAGCGUCAGAAGUAAAUGAAAACAAAAUCACUCUAUCUGCAGACAGAGUGACACUCUAACAUUUUCAGUCUGUUGGGUAUGUUUUAAUCCUAAAAUUAAUGUUUGGAAUAGAAUUUUGAAAUUGUUUUAAUCUGGAGAAUAAAAAUUACAUUUUGCUGAGCAAGUAAACUGAACUUAAAAUAGAAAAUAUUUUUCACUAAAAAUAGGAAUAAAAAGAUGGAAGUGAAGAAUGGAAAGAAGUCUGCAGUGAGCAGCUUGAGAAGGUAAUUGUUCAUCUGAACAAAAGAAAUUCUUGUAGUCCUAUGGCCUUCCUGGUUCCAUGGCCACCUGCCCCCAGCAUGGUCAACCAAGCACAGUGUGAUGUGCUGACAAUCUCACCUUGUGUGCAUUGUGGGUUUCAGAUUUGGAAAAAGACUGGCAUCAGCUUCCACGGAGAUUACUGUAUUGUUUUGUGCAGUUUCUGAAUUUAAGACAGGAAAAAUCUGACUAAUGCAUAUCACCAGCAUCGUGGCUGUCAAGAAUUUCUAUGUUGUUUCAACUUUCUGCUUCUUUGGGAGAGAGGAAGGGCAGCACCUUAGCUUUGUGCCUUGGUUUGAGGAACCGUGUUUCUCAAUAUUGGCCACCACCAUUGAUCCUUUUCUUCUUCACAGGGAAUUCGGUGCCCUGUGCCUUUGCUUUCGCUUUGCAAGACAAUCAAGGCCGACCUGGGCAUGGGUCCCCACUCAGCGUCCCGACCCCGCACCGGGCGCUGAGGCAGAGAGCGCGAGAGGGCGGGGGUCCACCUUCUUCCUCAGUGGCAGCUCACCCGUGCGUAACUGUCGUUUGGAGGACAGUGAUACAAGUUAGGAAAACCAGGCAUUUGUUUAACUCUUCUGCCUGAGGAAAAGCAAUGUUGGACAUUUGCAGUUCUGGCGAUUCAGCUUGGUUUUCCUAAAAGACAGGCCCCCACCCCUUCCCCCGGGGGCGCGGGUCUUGUUUGGAUACCGGCAGCCUGGGGCCAGGGAUGUGCUAGGGCAACAAAGAUGGUCCUGGAGGAGGAGGCCGUUCGUUUCUGCCGCUCCCGGGAGUUUUUGGGCUCAACUCACAGGACGAAGUUUUGCUUUCAGUGGUAAAGCACACUUUCUCCCGCCUGCUUUUGUUCCUGUCUGGUUCUUGCAUAUGCUGCCUUUUCUCCUUUUAGUUUUUAGUUGGUCGUAAACAGUAAUAUAAAUAAACAAACCAAAACAAAGCGCGGUGUAACUACCUGUGACACCAGGAAAACCCUGUGCACAGCGGGGCUGGCGCUGCGGGCGGACAGCGUUGGGCCCACCCGAGCUCCCUGGCUGCGAACUCUCUGCUCCCGUCCGCACCCGCUGCCACCCACAGACAGGAAAUACAGCACCCCACCUGCGGAGACGCCGGCGGCUGGGGGACAGCACGCUUUGUUAAGAAAUCAGAAUGCAAAAUGGCACACCGUGCACAACUGGGUCUACACAGGCAAGGGAAGAGGAGGAAAUGUAAACAGCUGUCCCGAGUUUACUAAGAGGGCAAAGUGAGUAAAUUUUUUUCAUUAGUCCUGCUUUCACAACAAUCGCAUUUUAGAAUAACUGUAACUUGUAUUGAGAGGGAGGCCCCUCCUCCACUUCGUGACCACAGUGUGGAAGCUGCACUGCGGGCAGCCAGGGUUUUCCUCGGCCUCCAUAGAAAGACGCUUAACUUCUUAUAUGGUUGUGGCAAGCACUAAAAUCCUGAUUUUUACAGAAUAGUAGUAAAAAUGCCUCAGUGACUUACUUUGAAAACAGUACAUUGGUACAUGGCUCUUGUACCCAGUAUCAGGAAUGUACAAAUGUCUUUUUAUUCAAAAGUACAAAAUGAAUUAUCUGUAGGCACGGACAAUGACAGCAAUAAACCAUUAUAUAUUUUGUCAACUGAAACCAGUAACUGAUGGUUAUAGUGAUUUCUUAAACAUCAGCCAGCCUUUUCUUCAUUUUCUCCAACUGACUUCUCUGAAAUUAUUAGUGAGGAACACUGCCUUGGGCUUCCUGUCACAGCUCAUUAAUAAAGGUAAAGCACUAUUCUAGGAAUUAGAACAUGCCACCUCUCAUACCACCUCCCAUUCCACCCAUUCCAGGGUUCUUCUCUUCUUUAGGAAUUUCUGUGACUACAGCUUCUGCUGUAGUUAACAGAGAGGCCAUGCCAUCAGCAUCCAAUAUAGUAGUGCCCACCAUGCCUGCCCCAUUCCUGUAACCCCCGCCUGGCUGCUCACCAGUUUCCUCUCAGAGAUUUCCUCUCCCUAUUUUUGAGUUAAUUAUUGACUUCUUUUUGAAACCUCCCUUUUAGACUUGUGCAUUUUUGAAGGCAGAAUUAAAUGGUGCCAUUCUGCCUUUUGCAAUGAUGACCUUGCAUCUUUGGUUUAACAGUUACCAAGAUAUUAAGCAAAAUUUGUCUCAGAUCUUUUCUUUUUCCCUUAAAGACAUACAUGUGACAAAAAGAAUUAGCCACCCCAGUUCCUUUUCAUGUCCUCUCUCUGCAGAGGUAACUCUCUGAUGUGGUGUGGCUGUGCCCCCACCCAAAUCUCAACUUGAAUUGUAGAUCCCAGAAUUUCCAUGUGUUGUGGGAGGGACCAGGCGGAGGUAAUUGAAUCAUGAGGGCCGGUCUUUCCCAUGCUAUUCUCAUGGUAGUGAACAAGUCUCACGAGAUCUGAUGGGUUUAUCAGGGGUUUCUGCUUUUGCUUCUUUCUCAUUUUCUUUUGCCAUCACCAUGUAAGAAGUGCCUUUCACCUCCUGCCAUGAUUCUGAGGCCUGCCCAGCCAUGUGGAACUGUAAGUCCAAUUAAACCUCUUUUUCUUCCCAGUCUUGCGUAUGUCUUUAUUAGCAGCAUGAAAAUGGACUAAUACAGUCAGUUGGUACCAGUAGAAUGGAAUGUUGCUGAAAAGAUACCCAAAAAUGUGGAAGUGACUUUGGAACUGGGUAAUAGGCAGAGGUUAGAACAGUUUGGAAGGCUCAGAAGAGGACAGGAAAAUGUGGGAAAGUUUGGAACUCCCUGGAGACUUGUUGAAUGGGUUUGACCAGAAGCCUGAUAGCAAUAUGGACAAUAAGGUCCAGACUGAGGUGGUCUCAGAUGGAGAUGAGAAACUUGUUUUGGGAACUGGAGUGAAGGUGACUCUUGUUACGUUUUAGCAAAGAUACUGGCAGCAUUUUGCCCCUGCCCUAGAGAUGUGUGGGACUUUGAACUUGAGAGCAAUGAUUUAGGGUAUCUAGCGGAAGAAAUUUCCAAGCAGCAAAGCAUCCAAGAGAUGACUUGGAGGCUGUUAAAGGCAUUUAGUUUUAUAAGGGAAGCAGUGCAUAAAAGUUUGGAAAAUUUGCAGCCUGACAAUGUGAUAGAAAAGAAAAACCCAUUUUCUGAGGAGAAAUUCAAGUCGGCUGUAGAAAUUUGCAUAAAGUAACGAGGAGCCAAAUGUCAGUCCCCAAGAGGAUGGGGGAAAAUGUCUCCAGGACAUGUCAGAGGUCUUCACAGCAGCUCCUCCUAUCACAGGCCCGAAGGCCUAGGAGGAAAAAAGUGGUUUCAUGGGCUGGGCCCAGGGUCCCCCAGCUGUGUGCAGCCUACGGACUUGGUGUCCUGCAUCCCAGCUGCUCCAGCUGUGGCUGAAAGGGGCCAACAUAGAGCUCAGGCCAUGGCUUCAGAUGGUGCAAGCCCCAAGCCUUGGCAGCUUCCACAUGGUGUUGAGCCUGAGGAUGCACAGAAGACAAGAAUUGAGGUUUGGGAACCUCCACCUGGAUUUCAGAAGAUGUAUGGAAAUGCCUAGAUGCCCAGGCAGAAGUUUGCUGCAGGGGCGGGGCACUCAUGGAGAACCUUUGCUAGGGCAGUGUGGAAGGAAAUGUGGAGUCAGGGCCCCCAGGCAGAGUCCCUACUGGGGCAUCACUUAGUGGAGCUAUAAGAAGAGGGCCACUGUCCUCCAGACCCCAGAAUGGUAGAUGCACCAACAGUUUGCACUGUGCACCUGGAAAAGCCGCAGACAAUGGCAGCCCAUGAAAGCAGCUGGGCAGGAGUCUGUACCCUGCAAAGCCACAGGGGCGGAGCUUCCCAAGACCAUGGGAACCUACUUUUUACAUCAGCGUGACCUAGAUGUGAGACUUGGAGUCAAAGGAGAUCGUUUUGGAGCUUUAAAAUUUGACUGCCCUGCUGGAUUUUGGAUGCAUGGGUCCUGAAACCCUUUUGUUUUGGCCAAUUUCUCCCAUUUGGAACGGCUGUAUUUACCCAAUACCUGUACCUCCAUUCUAUGUAGGAAGUAACUAGCUUGCUUUUGAUUUUACAGGCUCAUAGGCAGAAGGGACUUUCCUUGUCUUGGAUGAGACUUUGGACUGUUGACUUUUGGGUUCAUACUGAAAUGAGUUAACACUUUGGGGGACUGUUGGGAAGGCAUGAUUGGUUUUCAAAUGUGAGGACAUGAGAUUUGGAGGGGUUGGGGCAGAAUGAUAUGGUUUGGCUGUGUCCCCUCCCAAAUGUUGCAUUGUAGCUCCCAGAAUUCCCAUGUGCUGUGGGAGGGACCCAGUGGGAAGUAAUUGAAUCAUGGGGGCUGGUCUUUCCCAUGCUAUUCUUGUGAUAGUGAAUAAAUUUCACGAGAUCUGAUGGGUUUAUCAGGGGUUUCCACUUUUUCUACUUUCUCACUUUCUCUUGCCACUGCCAUGUAAGAAGUGCCUUUUGCCUCCCACCAUGAUUCUGAGGCCUCCCCAGCCAUGUAGAACUGUAAGUCCAGUUAAAUCUCUUUUUCUUUCCAGUCUCUGGUUGUCUUUAUCAGCAGGUUGAAAAUGGACUAAUAUACUCCCCUUCUAAAGUUGACGUGUAUUGGUCUCCAGGCAUGCUUCAUUCACUGACCAUGCCUUCCUGGCCAUCGCUGUCCCUGGGGUCCACACUGGAUCUGCAGUGUGGUUGGAUCUGCAGUGUGGUUGGAUCUGCAACCAACUGCAGUUCAAGAAUACGUUUUUAGAAAAUAACAAUACAAUAAAAUAUAAUACAAACAAAAAACAAUACAGUAUGACAACUAUUUGCCUAGCAUUUACAUUGUAUUAGGUAUUGCAAGUAGUCCAUAAAUGGUGUAAAGUACACAGGAGGAUGUGCCUAUGUUAUAUGCACAUGUGUCCUAUUCUCAAAUGGUUAUUUAAAUUUUGACUUUAACUGUAAUUACUUUUUUAAAAUAUUUUUAAGACUAUUUCCAUGUUUUUCUUCCCUUUAUUCACCUUGAUCUCAUGCUGGAGGUUUGUCUCUCUUAUUAGUCUCUUCAAAAAAUCAGCCUUUUAUUAUUUAUUUGAUUACUCUGUUGUUAACUUUCUAACAGACCUCAGGUGCUCAGAACCAGAUAAGCCAGAAUUCUUGGCAGAAGAGGCUCCCUGUCAUCCUGUCAUGCCUGUUUUAUUUUGGUUAUGCCUGUACUAGUAAGCACCCAUGAACCCACUCUCCAGAAUUAGAGAAAGGACACCCCAAUAACUCACAGCUACCUGUCUAUUCCUCUCCUCUCCUCCACCUUUCUUCCCCAGCUAGUAAACACUAUUCUCAGUUUUGUACUAUUUCCUUGCUUAUAUGUUUGUAUAUACCUAGAAGAACAUUAUUUUUAGUUGUUCUUAAUGUAAUAAAAAGGGAUCUUGCUGUACUUAAUAUUCUGAGACUUUGUUUUUAAAGUCAAUGUUAUACUGGUGUGUUUUAUCCACAUUAUUGCAUGUAGCUGUAUAUAUUAGUCCGUUUUCAUGCUGCUGAUAAAGACAUACCUGAGACUGGGUAAUUUAUAAAGAAAAAGAAGUUUAAUGGACUCACAGUUCCACAUGGCUGGGGAGGCUUCAUAAUCAUGGCGGAAGGCAAGGGAAGAACAAAGAUAUGUCUUAUAUGGCAGCAGGUGAGAGAGAAUGAGAACCAAGCAAAAGGCAUUUCCCCUUAUAAAACCAUCGGAUCUCCUGAGACUUAUUCACUACCACAAGAACAGCAUGGGGGAAACCACCCCCCAUGAUUCAAUCAUCUCUCACCGGGUGCUUCCCACAACAGGUGGGAAUUAUGGGAGCUACAAUUCAAGAUGAAAUUUGGUGGGGACACAGCCAAACCAUAUCACUGUACUUUUAAGUUUCACCAUGGUAUGAUAUGCCAUUUUGUAAAUAUUCCACAAUUUAUCUAUUCUCUCUUACCUGGUUCUAAUUUCUUAUUACCUAUGUGAUUUCUUAUUGAAAGGCAUUCAGUUAUCUCAGGUUUUUCCAUUAUAAAUACUGCAGCUAUUAACACUUUGAUAUAUGCCUCCCGGUACACAUGAGUGAGGUUGUCUCUUGGACAUAGAGCCAGGAAUGGAAUUGUAUCCAUUGUGCCAACUAUUACACUUUAAGUAUAAGAAAUCCUGCUGAUUUGUAUCCUUUCCAAUAUGUAAUGCUAUCAGACUUUAAUUUUUGUAGACCAAAUUAGUUUAAAAUCUCAUUCUGACCUUUAUUUGAUUUUCUUUAUGUCUAAUGGUUUCAGACAUUUCUUCAUGUGUGUUUCCUUUUCAGUUCUUUUUCCUGUUCAUUUUUAUUGGCUUGUUUGUCCUUCUCUUAUUGAUUUGUAGGGGUUCUUUGUAUUCUUGAUUCAGAUUCAGUGUAGAUUAUGUAAAUAUUAUCUCCAAGUUUCUAAUGUGUCUUUCUGUUUCACUAAGUUAUUUGUUGAUGAGCUUACUUUUUUAUAUAUAGUCAAAUUUAUCAAUCUUUUAUUUUAUUGCUAGUGUUUGCUGUGUCUUUUUUAAAAAAUCUUUUCCUACUCUACAUUUGGAAAGACUUUUACUUAUAUUUCCUAGUGAAAUUUUUACUUUUGUCAUUUAAGUACUUAAUCCAGCUAGAAUUAAUUUUUAAGCAUGGAGAGAGGUAGAGGUUCAAUUUCAUUUGUUUCCCCAAAUGAAUAUGCUCAUCAUCAUUUUCUUCCUUUGGUGGCUUUGGAAUUUAGUCUGUUAAUUCUUCAAAUAAUAAUUUGAGUUAGAUCCUUGUUUCAUAGUUUUUUAGUCUUCCUUGCUUUUUUUUUUUUUCUUUCUUUCUUUUUUUUGAGACAGUCUGAUUCUGUCGCCCAGGCUGGAGUACAGUGGCACGAUCUCGGCUCACUGCAACCUCCUCCGGCUCCCAGGUUCAAGUGAUUCUCCUGCUUCAGCCUCCUGAGUAGCUGGGAUGACAGGCGCCUGCCACCAUGCCCAGCUAAUUUUUGUAUUUUUAGUAGAGACGAGGUUUCACCAUGUUGGCCAGGCUGGUCUUGAACUCCUGACCUCAAGUGAUCCACCCGCCUCAGCCUCCCAAAGUGCUGAGAUUACAGGUGUGAGCCAUUGCACCCUGCCCUCUUCCUUGCUUUUUAAUACUUGCAUUUAAAGCUAUAACUUUCCCUCUAAGUACUGCUUUAGGUUCAUCCUAUAUUUUUUAUAUGCUAUGCAUUCAUCAUUAUUUGAUUCUAAUUUCUAAUUUUCAAUAUGAUUUCUUCCAAUUCAUAAGCUAUUUAAAGUGUUGAAUUUUCAAAUACAUUUGCAGGGUUGACUGUCUUUCUGUAAUUGAUUUUUAGUGCUGUUUCACUGUGGUCAGAGACUGUGCUCUGCGUGGGAUUGGCUAUUUUGGUGUUUCUUGAGGCCACUUUUGUUGCUUAGCAACUGAUCAGAAUGUGCUGAUUGUUGGGUGUUCUGUGACUGUUUAUUAGGUCAAGUAUGUAAACUGGGUUGCUUAAAUUUUCUGUGUCCUUGCUAAUCUUUAUUUUCCCUGCUUAAUCUAUCAAUUACUGAACGAAGGUAUGUGAACUUUUCCAUUAUUAUAUGGAUUUUAAAAUUUCUCUUUAUAAAUCUAUCAGUUUUUGAUUUUUCUGUUUUAAGACUAUAUUGUUAGAAACAUACAGAUUCUGGAUUUUAAAAAUAUCUUUAUGGUGAAUUUUCAUUGUCAUAUAUGAUAGAAAUUGUUCCCAUGAUCACAUGAUAACCUCUUUCACCCUAAUAAUGCUUUUUGUCUUGUUUAUUUUGUCUAAUGUAAGUAUAGCUAGAACUGUUCUCUUUUGAUUAAUAUUUGCCUAGUAUGUUUUUUCAUUUAUCAUUUUACAAAUAAUUUUCAUCAGUAUACAGAUAAUUUUCAUCAGUAUACAAACAUAGUCAAUGUAUAACUGAGAUUACUAAUAAAUUUGGAUUUAUUUCUGUCAUUACAUGUGUGUUGUAUUUAUUAUCAUGCUUUGUUUUCAUCUUUAACUUUAUUUUCCUCUCCUGUCUUCUAUGAAUUUUUUUUUUUUUUUUUUGAGAUGGAGUUUUCCUCUUGUUGCCCAGGCUAGUUGCUCUUGUUGCCCAGGAGUGCAGUGGUGUGAUCUCAGCUCACUGCAACCUCUGCCUCCUGGGUUCAAGCAGUUCUCCUGCCUCAGCCUCGCGAGUAGCUGGGAUUAUAGGCAUCUGCCACCAUGCCCAGCUAAUUUUUUGUAUUUUUUUAGUAGAGAUGUUUUGGCCAGGCUGGUCUUGAACUCCUGACCUCAGGUGAUCUACCUGACUCAGCUUACCGAAGUGUUGGGAUUACAGGCGUGAGCCACCGCGCCUGGCCCUGUCUCCUAUGAAUUAAUUGGACUUUUGUUAUUCGCUUUCCCUUUUUCACUGAAGUUAUACAGUUUAUUCCUAGUCUUUACAAAUUUAAUAUGCACUUUUAAAGCCAGUAUUUUCAUCUUCUUUCCCCAGAAUAAAAGAACCACAGAACUCCGUAACUGUUAUUAUUGUAUCUUUCCCUCAACUUGCAUGUUCUAUUGUCUUAAUUUUAGGUCCACCCUGUUUCUAAUGAUCCCCAUUCAUCAUUAGUAUUGUUUCAAACAGUUUGUGGUCGCUAGGUUUAGAUUUCCCUGCAUGUUUAUUACUUUUCCUGCUCAUUGCAUCUCACUCUGUCUUUGUUUCUGAAUUAUGUUCUUCACUAGUUCUCUCAGUGUGUUUAUGUGUGUGUGUGUGGGGUGCUCUAUUUGAAUGAAAAUUACUUCAUUUCACUCUCAUUCUGGAAUGCUUGUUGAACAGGGCAUGGAAUGUUCAGUUAAAAUUAUUUGUUUCCAGCACAUUGAAGAUGUGAUUCUCUUUUCUUCAGACCUCUUCUAUUGCACUUUAGGCAUCUGCGGUCCGUCAAGUGGAAGCUGGUUGCUAGGUUAUUAGUCUUUUCUCCCUGGUUGCUAACUAGAUUUUCUCUUUGUCUUUGACAUUUUAUGAUUUUUAUUGAGGUAUAUCCAU
rnacentral:lncRNA from 1 species